GUUGCCUGGGAAUAAACAUGAGCUCUCUGCAGGGAUCUAUUGCUACCUGCUGAUAAGCUACGCAAUUCAACAUCUAGAAGAGAGCUUUGCAGUAUCAUCAUUUUCCUGGACAGAUGGCAAGGCUGGGCUCUUGGCAAGGAUCCUGCAGAGGGAAAAGUGGCAAGAUCUGGAGAUCAUACAUUUUCUCUCAAGAAUGGAAGAAAUGUUUGUCCUUGCAAAUAAAAUCCGAAAUAAACCAUGGUCACCAGGCUUUCUUGAGAGAGGACGAUGCCACAAUCCCAGGUCGGAGACCCUUGGAUUUGGAGGAAUGUCAGGUCCAGCCUGAAUUUCUUAGAAAACCUAGCAGAAAACAGAGCUCUUUCAUUUCAAGAAAUCAAGGCUGGUGAGUGAUUCUUCUAUUUAUUUUUUUAAUCAGCCACGUGAUAGCUAGGAGCAAAAGGGAGAUACUUUACCUCUAAAGACACUGUAUAUGUGUGUAGGCAUGCCAAUAAAUGGUUUUCAGGUGCAAAGCUAUGUGUUUACUGUUAUAGCAAUCAGCUGACACUGCAAAUACUCACAAGAGGCUAACGGGGU